UGAGUAACCUGCCCUUCACUUCGGGAUAACUCCGGGAAACCGGGGCUAAUACUGGAUAUGACCUGGUGCCGCAUGGUGCUGGGUGGAAAGCUUUUCGGGUGGGGGAUGGACUCGCGGCCUAUCAGCUUGUUGGUGAGGUAAUGGCUUACCAAGGCGACGACGGGUAGCCGGCCUGAGAGGGCGAUCGGCCACACUGGGACUGAGACACGGCCCAGACCUCCUACGGGGAGGCA
rnacentral:rRNA from 1 species